rnacentral:rRNA from 1 species
GAUGAACGCUGGCGGCGUGCCUAAUACAUGCAAGUCGAGCGAACGGACGAGAAGCUUGCUUCUCUGAUGUUAGCGGCGGACGGGUGAGUAACACGUGGAUAACCUACCUAUAAGACUGGGAUAACUUCGGGAAACCGGGGCUAAUACCGGAUAAUAUUUUGAACCGCAUGGUUCAAAAGUGAAAGACGGUCUUCCUGUCACUUAUAGAUGGAUCCGCGCUGCAUUAGCUAGUUGGUAAGGUAACGGCUUACCAAGGCAACGAUGCAUAGCCGACCUGAGAGGGUGAUCGGCCACACUGGAACUGAGACACGGUCCAGACUCCUACGGGAGGCAGCAGUAGGGAAUCUUCCGCAAAGGGCGAAAGCCUGACGGAGCAACGCCGCGUGAGUGAUGAAGGUCUUCGGAUCGUAAAACUCUGUUAUUAGGGAAGAACAUAUGUGUAAGUAACUGUGCACAUCUUGACGGUACCUAAUCAGAAAGCCACGGCUAACUACGUG